rnacentral:rRNA from 1 species
AUUAAAAUUAUUUUUUCUUUAAACAAUACUAAAACUUUUUCCUAUAAAAUUAUUUUUAAUAUUUUAAACAAAAAUUAAUAAAAUUAAUAAAUAAAAUUUAA